GACGAACGCUGGCGGCGUGCUUAACACAUGCAAGUCGAACGGAAAGGCCCUGCUUUUGUGGGGUGCUCGAGUGGCGAACGGGUGAGUAACACGUGAGUAACCUGCCCUUGACUUUGGGAUAACUUCAGGAAACUGGGGCUAAUACCGGAUAGGAGCUCCUGCUGCAUGGUGGGGGUUGGAAAGUUUCGGCGGUUGGGGAUGGACUCGCGGCUUAUCAGCUUGUUGGUGGGGUAGUGGCUUACCAAGGCUUUGACGGGUAGCCGGCCUGAGAGGGUGACCGGCCACAUUGGGACUGAGAUACGGCCCAGACUCCUACGGGAGGCAGCAGUGGGGAAUAUUGCACAAUGGGCGGAAGCCUGAUGCAGCAACGCCGCGUGCGGGAUGACGGCCUUCGGGUUGUAAACCGCUUUCGCCUGCGACGAAGCGUGAGUGACGGUAAUGGGUAAAGAAGCACAGGCUAACUACGUG
rnacentral:rRNA from 1 species